GAGGAAACUCUGGUAUCUGUAUUUACUGCAAAUCAGUCAGCAAAAAGCUAAAAACUGAUUUCAGAUAGAGUCGUCUGGUUUUAACGCUGCAAAACAUCAGCUUAGUCGCUGGAAAAGAUUCUGUUUCAGUUUCAGAUUCUAAUAUUGCACAUUAUUCAGAUUGUGUCUCAUUAUGUGUUUAAUUUUCCUACAUUGUGCGGUCUGUUGUAGCGCCCCAAUAAGCAAUUAUUUUAUUGAUUUUCUUUAUCCAUCUCUUUGGAAUAAUUUAGUCAUCCACCUCAGGAAGCCACAAACAGAAACGUUUUUUAUGCGGUCUGUGACUAAACCCAUAAAAAUGUCUUUGAAUAAGAGACAGAUGGGUAGUGACAGGCCUGAUGUUUCUGUUCACACAAACUGUCACAGCUGGGACAUUUAACUUUGACAUUAAAAAAGAAAGAAGAAAAAAAAAAGUUACGCAAAAAGAUUUCCCACACAGAGAUUGCUAAACUCCUCUUUGUCUCAUGAGGAGGAGGGACUGACAGGGUUUGGAUGUUUUGUGGACGACAGCGAGUCUCAGUUCACUCCCACACGUCCCAUUAAGAAAGAGAAUGACACUAAAACAGACCUGCUCAAUUAUAAAUGAAUGUGAUCAUUCCUCCUCCACCAGGAGCCAGAGGAAGAAGCAACAACUGUGCGGCAAAACCUCUAAGAAAUUAUGUUCAGUUACUUUUUGUUUGUUUUGCUCCUCAUCGAUGAGAAAUUUGAGUGUGCUUAACAAAGGUGGUGUCGGCCCUGGUAGAUGCACGAAAGUGAAAUUUGUGCAAGGUUUUAUGUUUCUGAAAAAAUGACCCCUGGUGACUUUGUACAGGGCAGAUGUUUAUUGUCACUCCGGUUAUACUAAUGCAGUCAAAUGUUUGUUUUUGUGUGUGUGUCUCAUGACAAGAAAGAUGAUCCCUGUCGUUAUUAGAGAAGAGGAUGCAGUGUCCGUGUUUUGAGAAGAACCACAGAAUAGUUUUCCACUGCCCCUCAGUCCAUCCUAAAGUGAUCUGCGCUCAGAGAAGUCACCAACGUGUCCCCAUCAUGUUUAUAUAUUGCCUCCCCUUUGAAUCGUCCAGUUUUAACCUGCAUUUGUUUUGGAUGCAGCAAAGGACUGCAUCAGAGUUAGUUAAAGAAUAAUUCUCCAAACAACAACAACAAAAAAAUUUAUGAAAUUUAAAAAAAAAAAGCAGAUAAUAGCAAAAAUGUCAAAAGAAAUCUGUUCACUUAAGUUAGGGACAGGGUUAGGGUUAGGGAUUAGGGUUGAGGCUAGGGGUAGGGUUGGGGCUAGGGUUAGGGUUGAGGCUAGGGUUAGGUCUAGGGUAAGGGUUAGGGUUGGAGCUAGGGGUAGGGUUAGGUCUAGGGUUAGGGCUAGGAUUAGGGUUGGGGCUAGGGUUAGGGUUGGGGUUAGGGUUGGGCUAGGGUUAGGGUUGAGCCUAGGGUUAGGGCUAGGGUAGGGUUGAGGCUAAGGUUAGGGUUGAGUCUAGGGUUGGGGUAGGGUUAGGGUUCAGGCUAGGGUUACGGUUAAGGCUAGGGUAAGGGUUUGGCAAGGGUUAGGGUUUGGCUAGGGUUAGGGUUGAGGCUGGGGUUAGGGUUAAGUCUAGGGUUGGGGCUCGGGUUACGGUCAGGGUUGGAGCUACAGGUUAGGGUUGGGCUAGGGUUCGGGUUAUGAGUUAGGAUUAGAGUUUGGGUUAGAGUUAGGACUCAGAUUAGACCUUUACACACUUCCAGUUGUCCCAUGCUAGGGUUAGCAUUAGGGUUGGGUUAGGGGUUAGGUAUAGGUAAGAGUUAGGGUUAGGGUUAGGGUUAGGGUUAGGGUUAGGGUCAGAGCUUUACACACUUCCACUUUGGCCAAAGCAGAUCAGUAUGUUAUUUGUUUGCUAGCAACACUUUUUAACAACUGUCUGACUUCUAUCCUCUCCCCAUAAGACAUUCAGCCUCUUACAUGGCAGCUGACUCCUACCAGAUGACAGGGAUUGGUGACUGCACCAGAGUUAAAAAAGCAUAUCUGAAUAAAUUAAUAUAAAGUUCAUUCUCAGAUUACUGUUUAAUAACAUUUGUUAUUUUAAACCUGGUAACUUCCAUAUCACCCACAUCCAUAUAAGCCAAUGGCAGGUUUCAGUUCUGUACAGCAGUUCCUGGUCCUGGAAGUGGAUCUCAAGCUAGCAGAGGAGAAAAGCUAAAAUAUGCUUCAUUUUAAAGGUUUUACAAUAAAUAAAAUGUUUCAUAUCAAGGAAAAAAUCUCAGAGUAUUUCUUUUACUCCAAGAUUUGGUUUUGUGGAAGUAUGGAGAUGCUGUUAAAUGCUUUUAUACAGAGUAGUAAGAUGCUAUGCUAACUAUGCUUACAAAGCCUCUCAACCAGCUCAAUGUUUAAAAUUGUAUUACCAAAUACAUACAAACAUGUGUUUUGGUCCCUUCAAUGUUUGAGUUUAGGUUGUCGUGUGGCGGUAAAGGUCAAAGAAAAUGUUUGAUGACAAAAACUGAGACAGCAAUCAUCACAUCAGACAUAAGAUGACAGCUCAGGGCCCCUUCCAGGUCUUUGUCUUUGCUGCAAUAACCUUUACAUCCCAUGGCAGUAAGCUAUAAUGAUAGGAUCCAUACAUGGGAAACAUAUAUGCUGCAUACCGUUACUCAAAGCUGACAUUUAAAGUCAUGUCAAAACAUGCUUCCCACAUUGUCUAUAUGCAAAGCAAGCAUCUGACCAGCAGAGUGAACCACUCAAACUUUUUGUCUUGAGAUCCUGUUGUAUCCAUGUUUUGUUUUUGCAUAUACAGACUUUACAUCUAACAAGGGUUUUCAACCAGAUCAGUGUUCUGAAUGAUGAGCUGAACCAAACUAACCUUCCUCCUGUGUUAGCUUUUACUACGGACCCACCAUGUUCAGGGUCGGUUUUGACCCGUGUCUUAAAUCAGCUGUAAAUUACACUGAAAAAAAUUCUCUAUCAUCCGAUUUGUUGCCUGACAGUGCACUUUCAGUUUAGAUUUUAGUUUUAGAUUUUAGUUUUUGCUCUAAUUAUUAUAUAUUGAUCUAACCGGGUCAACAGCAACCCUAACACGGCAAGUGCCAUAAUUUUAAUAAGAGCAUUUUAUAGUUUAGUCAAUUUUAUUUUUUUAUUUUUAUUUUGUUGAAAUAGAGGUUCCUAACAAAGUCAGAAAGUCUUGAUGCAAAAAAGCUCAUUUAAGUGGUUCUUUUAAGCAUUUAAAAUCAAAAACGGGUCAGUGCAGAUCCUAACACAGGAGGAGGGCUGAGUGAAAAAUUGUGUUGCAAUGGCUCUGACACUUCCCACAAGGAGGAUGCAGAUUUGAAAAGAAUGUGCUCAAGUCCAAAUCAAAUCAAAUGCUGCAGUUGUGAGGUGCUGCGAUCAUAGCAGGGGGAAUGUUACUAACAGGUGCUUUCUGAACAUGCCUUUAUUUCUAAUUUUUUUGUAAUGUGUUACAGACAACAAACUUAAAAUGAGUGAUUUUGCAAAAAAAAAAAAAAGACACAUAGCGCACCCUAUGGCUAAAAUACCAACAAAAUAGUAGUAAUCCAUGAAAUAUCAGCAGGAGUUGGGCAUAAAAAAAUGUAAGUUCAUUUGUGAAUGAUAACUGUGACAGCUAGAGUCAAACAGGCUGAUUAUGAGCAUCAAUAGCCAUCAGUAAGAUAUAAAUCACUGCAUUGUGUUUUAACAAUGAUAAUAGAAAAAGAAAGAUAACAGUGGUGUAAACAUGUUGGUGCUGUCCACUUGACAGUGUUACAAAUCGCCCUUAAAUCAGCUAAUUGUGAGAGCGGUAAUUUGUCUGAAUCAUGGGCUCGGCCUCAGUAUUGUCAUCUACUGAUUGGUCAACAGUCGUUUUGAAGCCCAGUGAAGUCCCCAUGAUGGAAAUGCAACUCAAACUGACUUUUGGGGAACUUGUUCACUACCCCUCUGGAUCCUUUGUGGUCAGUCACAGAAAAUGGCUGCAGGUAUUUGGCUGUAUAUUCAGCAAUAUACACUGUGACCUACUGAGUUUUUACGCUGUUACAGGAAGUGAGGCUUUAAACACGUCCUUAUAUUUUUUUUUGGUCUGGCUGAUUUUGUUUCCCUUAAAUCUUCUCAAAUCUUUACCUUGUCUCCGUUCUUAUUUCUUGACCAAAAUUUCAAAACUAUCUCUUUGUUCCAGCGCUCACCAUUUUCACUGCAGGCAAAGCACAAAGGAUGAUGAGCAUGCAUGGGAUGAUGGUCUCUGUAGUCCCCACUUCCCUCUGAAGCUAUAAGAAACUACAUUUUUUUCUUUCCGUAAAGCCCA